CAAGUCGAACGGGGUGAGGAGCAAUCCUCAUUCAGUGGCGAACGGGUGAGUAAUGCAUCGGAACGUGUCCCGUANUGGGGGAUAACGCCGCGAAAGCGGCGCUAAUACCGCAUACGCUCUGUGGAGGAAAGCAGGGGACCCGCGAGGGCCUUGUGCUAGGGGGGCGGCCGAUGUCCGAUUAGGUUGUUGGUGGGGUAAUGGCCUACCAAGCCUGCGAUCGGUAGCUGGUCUGAGAGGAUGAUCAGCCACACUGGGACUGAGACACGGCCCAGACUCCUACGGGAGGCAGCAGUGGGGAAUUUUGGACAAUGGGGGCAACCCUGAUCCAGCCAUGCCGCGUGCGGGAAGAAGGCCUUCGGGUUGUAAACCGCUUUUAGCCGGGAAGAAAGCGCUACGGAUAACACCCGUAGUGGUUGACGGUACCGGCGGAAUAAGCACCGGCUAACUACGUGCCAGCAGCCGCGGUAAUACGUAGGGUGCAAGCGUUAAUCGGAAUUACUGGGCGUAAAGCGUGCGCAGGCGGUUCGUUGUGUCGGCGGUGAAAGCCCCGGGCUCAACCUGGGAAUGGCCGUUGAAACUGGCGAACUGGAGUGUGGCAGAGGGGGGUGGAAUUCCGCGUGUAGCAGUGAAAUGCGUAGAGAUGCGGAGGAACACCGAUGGCGAAGGCAGCCCCCUGGGCUGACACUGACGCUCAGGCACGAAAGCGUGGGGAGC
rnacentral:rRNA from 1 species